GGAUAACUACUGGAAACGGUAGCUAAUACCGCAUAACGUCGCAAGACCAAAGAGGGGGACCUUCGGGCCUCUUGCCAUCGGAUGUGCCCAGAUGGGAUUAGCUUGUAGGUGAGGUAACGGCUCACCUAGGCGACGAUCCCUAGCUGGUCUGAGAGGAUGACCAGCCACACUGGAACUGAGACACGGUCCAGACUCCUACGGGAGGCAGCAGUGGGGAAUAUUGCACAAUGGGCGCAAGCCUGAUGCAGCCAUGCCGCGUGUAUGAAGAAGGCCUUCGGGUUGUAAAGUACUUUCAGCGGGGAGGAAGGGAGUGAGGUUAAUAACCUUAUUCAUUGACGUUACCCGCAGAAGAAGCACCGGCUAACUCCGUGCCAGCAGCCGCGGUAAUACGGAGGGUGCAAGCGUUAAUCGGAAUUACUGGGCGUAAAGCGCACGCAGGCGGUCUGUCAAGUCGGAUGUGAAAUCCCCGGGCUCAACCUGGGAACUGCAUUCGAAACUGGCAGGCUGGAGUCUUGUAGAGGGGGGUAGAAUUCCAGGUGUAGCGGUGAAAUGCGUAGAGAUCUGGAGGAAUACCGGUGGCGAAGGCGGCCCCCUGGACAAAGACUGACGCUCAGGUGCGAAAGCAUGGGGAGCAAACAGGAUUAGAUACCCUGGUAGUCCACGCUGUAAACGAUGUAGAGUUGGAGGUUGUUCCCUUGAGGAGUGGCUUCCGGAG
rnacentral:rRNA from 1 species